rnacentral:rRNA from 1 species
GUUGGGAAAGCGAGCGGCGGAUGGGUGAGUAACACGUGGGGAACCUGCCCCUAAGUCUGGGAUACCAUUUGGAAACAGGUGCUAAUACCGGAUAAUAAAGCAGAUCGCAUGAUCAGCUUUUGAAAGGCGGCGUAAGCUGUCGCUAAGGGAUGGCCCCGCGGUGCAUUAGCUAGUUGGUAAGGUAACGGCUUACCAAGGCGACGAUGCAUAGCCGAGUUGAGAGACUGAUCGGCCACAUUGGGACUGAGACACGGCCCAAACUCCUACGGGAGGCAGCAGUAGGGAAUCUUCCACAAUGGACGCAAGUCUGAUGGAGCAACGCCGCGUGAGUGAAGAAGGUUUUCGGAUCGUAAAGCUCUGUUGUUGGUGAAGAAGGAUAGAGGUAGUAACUGGCCUUUAUUUGACGGUAAUCAACCAGAAAGUCACGGCUAACUACGUGCCAGCAGCCGCGGUAAUACGUAGGUGGCAAGCGUUGUCCGGAUUUAUUGGGCGUAAAGCGAGCGCAGGCGGAAAAAUAAGUCUAAUGUGAAAGCCCUCGGCUUAACCGAGGAACUGCAUCGGAAACUGUUUUUCUUGAGUGCAGAAGAGGAGAGUGGAACUCCAUGUGUAGCGGUGGAAUGCGUAGAUAUAUGGAAGAACACCAGUGGCGAAGGCGGCUCUCUGGUCUGCAACUGACGCUGAGGCUCGAAAGCAUGGGUAGCGAACAGGAUUAGAUACCCUGGUAGUCCAUGCCGUAAACGAUGAGUGCUAAGUGUUGGGAGGGUUUCCCGCCUCUCAGUGCUGCAGCUAACGCAUUAAGCACUCCGCCUGGGGAGUACGA